ensembl:lncRNA
GCUAUUUUUUAUUGGCUCUUAAUAUUCAUUUGUAAAAAUUCAUCAAUUUAGAAAUGCAUUAGAUGCAAUUAUCAUAAUUAUAUUUUACAAAGUUUUAAAUACAUUGUCAAAAGAGUUCCAGAGGAUCAAAGCCAAUUAUAAUAGCACUAUUUCAGAUAUAAUCCAACCUUACUGAUAAUGAAAAUGAUAACAAUUUAGAAAUGAGGUAGAGAAUACGUAAGAGUUUAAAAGGAAACAGACUGAGUUUUUUCUCAAUAUAUAUUUCCAGGUUUUUAAAGAAGUUAAAGAGUAUUUUUCAUGUUUAUACUUUCGUUACUUUGAGUGACAUUGUGAUCCACCCAAAAUGCAAGUUACAUUCUGAUGACAUGAAUCACUGAUGUCUAUUAUAAAAUCAUAUGAGCUCAUAUCUUAAUACAACCCUCUAUACCAGAAAGCAAAUAAGACACUCUCUUAGAAGGAGAGCGCUUUACCUGCUGGCUUUGCUUACCUGAGAGACUGGCAGUUCUACAAGUUCUAGUGACCACAUGAUUAACUCAGAAAAACAAUAGACAGGGAUGCCUCCACAAUUUCAACACAUUGCUUGCCUCUCACCUUGUAACAGACCUUUUGCUGCAUUGGCUGAGCUGCAAGAGUAGGGGUAAAAGGAGAGUAGACUCCUUUUUAAUUCUGAAUAGCAGCAAAACCUACUGUUUUGUGGCAGGGCACAGAGAGUUCUUUUCCAGAAUUCUCAAAAAUUUGCAUAUUUUGAUGCAUUUCAGAUGCAUCCAAUCUGCACAGAGAAGCAAAGGGAUAGAUAUAACAACAAUAUUAAUAGGAUUUUACCACCAUCUUGUUCAUCUUUGUGUUCUGUUUUUCAUGUUUGACUCUACUACAAAGCUCUCUGAAAUAGAAAUAUUUAAUUACCUUUUUAUCUAGAAGCAUCCGGCCUAGUGUUCAGCGUCAUAAAUACAAAACAAAUAACAAGUAAUCAUACUAUAUCUCAAAAUGUAACUGAAUUGCACCUUUCAUGCGUUAUUUUUCUAUACCAUUAACUUCAGAUUUUGCAUUAUUUUAGUAACACACAUCAUGACUUCUCAAGGCAGAAAAUUCCACAUGAUGAACUACAGUAAGUAGUUGAGGUUGAGUGCAGUAAGAAGUGAGGCACAUCCAUGUAUUUCAAGCUCAGCAGCCACCACUGGCACAGAAUGCCCUCUCUUCUACUCCUCUUCAUGCCUGAAUGUAAUACAUUUAGCCAUCUGCUUCUAACUCAUGGGUCUCGUGAAGUCCCAUGCUUCUUCUCAGCAAAGCUGGUUAUUAGUCCUGGUGAGUUUUAUUUACUUACCACUCAGUGAUGUAACUGAGAUUGUGGGAUAACAGAAAUAAACUGGAAUUCUGUGGUUUUCUUGUUCAAGCACCAUUCCAAGCAAAAGUGUCUUCAAGGCCAGCUCAGGUUGUCAGGGCCUCGUACAACUGAGUUCUGAAGGCUGCUGAUUCUAUAGUUUUCUUGAGCUAGUUUACUCGUUCCAGUGAUUAUGUGCUUUUAUGGUGAGUAUUUUUUUCCUUAAACCCAUUCAGGAUUUUCCUUAGAAGUGCUUCCUCUUGCCUUUUCUCUGUUACGCUUGUGAGAAGUCAUGCGCCCCACUGUCUGUAAUUCUUCUUUAGAAGAGAUUGUAAUGGGAUGACAGCCCAAAUAAUUAGUGUAUUUUUCCACUCUGGGAAAUCU